rnacentral:rRNA from 1 species
AUGGUUCUGGUUCGAGCCGGACUGGCCACCUACAAGGGCGGGAAGCAGGCGGAGAGCGUCCCCAAUCCCUCCAAAGGAGAGCGGGUAUGCUUCGUCCCCUACCUAAUAAGGGGACUCAGAUUUCCCAUACAUCCGUUUCUCCAGGGGCUCCUGGAGUUCUAUGGACUCCAACUUCACCACCUCACACCUGCCUCCAUCUUGCACAUCGCGGGCUUUGUAGCUCUUUGCGAGCUGUUCUUGGGCAUAGAUCCCCAUUUUGCACUGUGGAAGAGAUUGUUUUGCCUCGUACCCCGUUCUCAUGAGGGGUCGAUAUAUCAAGUGGGAGGAGCCGAAAUAUGGCGCAUCGCCGGGACCGGAUAUCUAUCCGGAACCCCGAAGAAGGCAUCCGAAGACUAG